rnacentral:rRNA from 1 species
AUUGAACGCUGGCGGCAUGCUUUACACAUGCAAGUCGAACGGCAGCGGGGAGGAGCUUGCUUCUCUGCCGGCGAGUGGCGAACGGGUGAGUAAUACAUCGGAACGUGUCGAGAAGAGGGGGAUAACCACCCGAAAGGGUGGCUAAUACCGCAUAAAUUCUGAGGAAGAAAGCUGGGGACCUAGGAAUAGGCCUAGCGCUUUUUGAGCGGCCGAUGUCGGAUUAGCUAGUUGGUGAGGUAAAGGCUCACCAAGGCGAAGAUCUGUAGCGGGUCUGAGAGGAUGAUCCGCCACACUGGGACUGAGACAAGGCCCAGACUCCUACGGGAGGCAGCAGUGGGGAAUCUUGGACAAUGGGGGCAACCCUGAUCCAGCCAUGCCGCGUGUAUGAAGAAGGCCUUAGGGUUGUAAAGUACUUUUGUUAGGGAAGAAAAGUCAGCUGUGAAUAAUGGCUGAUACUGACGGUACCUAAAGAAUAAGCACCGGCUAACUACGUG